GUGGGUAUGGCUCAGUGGUACAGCUCAUGCUUAGCAUGCAUGAGGUCCUGGGUUCAACCCCAGUACCUUCA
rnacentral:tRNA from 1 species